ensembl:snoRNA Gm23601 small nucleolar RNA SNORA17
CCUGCCCCAAGAGGCACUGCAAGUAUGGCUGCUAUGUCACAUUUGCCUUAGGAGGUGACAAAGAAGGAAGAAGCUAUUUCUAUGUUCAGUGUUCAACAAACACUUGAUUGAGUAGUAGCCUACCAUU